rnacentral:rRNA from 1 species
GAUGAACGCUGGCGGCGUGCCUAAUACAUGCCAGUCGAGCGAACGGACGAGAAGCUUGCUUCUCUGAUGUUAGCGGCGGACGGGUGAGUAACACGUGGAUAACCUACCUAUAAGACUGGGAUAACUUCGGGAAACCGGAGCUAAUACCGGAUGAUAUUUUGAACCGCAUGGUUCAAAAGUGAAAGACGGUCUUGCUGUCACUUAUAGAUGGAUCCGCGCUGCAUUAGCUAGUUGGUAAGGUAACGGCUUACCAAGGCAACGAUGCAUAGCCGACCUGAGAGGGUGAUCGGCCACACUGGAACUGAGACACGGUCCAGACUCCUACGGGAGGCAGCAGUAGGGAAUCUUCCGCAAUGGGCGAAAGCCUGACGGAGCAACGCCGCGUGAGUGAUGAAGGUCUUCGGAUCGUGAAACUCUGUUAUUAGGGAAGAAUAUAUGUGUAAGUAACUGUGCACAUCUUGACGGUACCUAAUCAGAAAGCCACGGCUAACUACGUG